GGUCCAGUAACUCAAGUUCCUUUUUUUUCUAACUAGGUUCAAACGGUCCUCAGCUGUUUACAAUAGAGCAAUGGGGAACUCCUGAUAAACUGCCCAGAGCUCACACAUGCUUUAAUCGCUUAGACUUACCUCUUUAUGAAUCCUUCAGCGACCUGCGAGAGAAGCUCCUUGUGGCAGUUGAAAAUGCACAAGGAUUUGAAGGAGUGGAUUAGGGCACUGCUUCCCACCUUUCGGCGCGUUCUGCUGCACUUCCACGUCUCCACGUUGGACUCUGACUGUGGCAGAACCGUUGCACAGCGCUGGUUCCUGGAGCAAACUCUUCGACAGUGCAGUGGCCUAAAUGCAGAAUCUUGAAUUCUGGUCUGUGGAUGGCUUUUUUGGCAUUUCCACAGCCAGUUACUAUGGGGUUAUAUGUACUCUGAUUACAUUUCAGCAGAACUUACUGUAUUUAUGUUGUGCCUCUGUAGGCUGAGCCCUUAAUAAAAAUUCUACAUAAUUUCUAAUGACAAUGAAUGAAAUUAAUCAUUUUACAGGGAUAGUGUUACAACUCAUGUUUACUUUUUAGUUGAUUUAGACAUUUUCAGAUUAUAUUUCAUUACAAUUAAAUUUCAUGUAUUUGGGGAAAAAAUCAGCAUUUUUCUUAAUUUCUUACCAGACUUGAUGCCAGUGUCAUUUUUUUCAAGCUCAUUUUGAACCUUGUGUUCCCAAACUGUUAGGAAAAUAGGAGAUAGUUAUCUUGGAAUUCUUCUCUAUAUUGGCUAUAUCAAGAGCACAUAAAUAUUUUUCUGUAUCCAGAAGAGGUAUGGGUUCUAUGUUGCAUUUUUGUAUAAAUAACAGUUACGAGUUGAGGGACAGUCAUAACAUAGCAUGCCAAAUCUCAUGUUCAAUAAAGAAAUUGCCUCAUUAUUCCUUGGUGAUAUUUACAUGUAGUGAAGAACAUUUUGGGGUAGAGUUGGCAUUAAUCAUUUAGGAAAAUAUGCUUAACCCUGUCAUUAUCUUUGUGUAGUGGUUGUUUUAUUAUCCUUUCCUCUUUAUUGUGUGCAGUGAAGGUAUUUUGAAAGAAACGUGGCACUGUGUGAUUUGGUGUUAUGGAAAACAGAUCUGUUUUGUCUCCUAUUUGUAUGCAUUUGCUAAUGAUAUCUAAAUAUGGUAUCUUUUUGUUUCUAACUGUACCAACUCUAAAGGCACUUUAUGUAACACAUUGCAGUCAUAUCUGUGUUUUUUUUAUCAUAAACUUUAAUGUGAUUAUGUUCCUUCUCACUGCACAUGUCUUUCUGGUGCAAUAUCUAUCAGUUGUGAGUUUGGCUGCUGCUGAUGUAUAAAAGAGA